rnacentral:rRNA from 1 species
AUUGAACGCUGGCGGCAUGCUUUACACAUGCAAGUCGAACGGUAACAGGCCGCAAGGUGCUGACGAGUGGCGAACGGGUGAGUAAUGCAUAGGAACGUGCCACGUCGUGGGGGAUAACUGCUCGAAAGAGCAGCUAAUACCGCACACGAUCUAUGGAUGAAAGCGGGGGACCGUAAGGCCUCGCGCGAUUGGAGCGGCCGAUGUCAGAUUAGGUAGUUGGUGGGGUAAAGGCUCACCGAGCCAACGAUCUGUAGCUAGUCUGAGAGGACGACCAGCCACACUGGGACUGAGACACGGCCGAGACUCCUACGGGAGGCAGCAGUGGGGAAUUGUGGACAAUGGGGGCAACCCUGAUCCAGCAAUGCCGCGUGCAGGAAGAAGGCCUUCGGGUUGUAAACUGCUUUUGUACGGAACGAAACGGUCUGGGUUAAUACCCUGGGCUAAUGACGGUACCGUAAGAAUAAGCACCGGCUAACUACGUGCCAGCCGCCGCGGUAA